rnacentral:rRNA from 1 species
AACGCUUCUUUUUCCACCGGAGCUUGCUCCACCGGAAAAAGAAGAGUGGCGAACGGGUGAGUAACACGUGGGUAACCUGCCCAUCAGAAGGGGAUAACACUUGGAAACAGGUGCUAAUACCGUAUAACAAUCAAAACCGCAUGGUUUUGAUUUGAAAGGCGCUUUCGGGUGUCGCUGAUGGAUGGACCCGCGGUGCAUUAGCUAGUUGGUGAGGUAACGGCUCACCAAGGCCACGAUGCAUAGCCGACCUGAGAGGGUGAUCGGCCACAUUGGGACUGAGACACGGCCCAAACUCCUACGGGAGGCAGCAGUAGGGAAUCUUCGGCAAUGGACGAAAGUCUGACCGAGCAACGCCGCGUGAGUGAAGAAGGUUUUCGGAUCGUAAAACUCUGUUGUUAGAGAAGAACAAGGAUGAGAGUAACUGUUCAUCCCUUGACGGAAUCUAACCAGAAAGCCACGGCUAACUACGUGCCAGCAGCCGCGGCAAUACGUAGGUGGCAAGCGUUG